rfam:Salmo salar isolate Sally breed double haploid chromosome ssa09, whole genome shotgun sequence.
UGGCUCAGUUGGUAGAGCAUGGUGUGUGCAAUGCCAGGGAUGUGGGUUCGAUUCCCAC